rnacentral:rRNA from 1 species
CAGCAGUAGCCGCGGGAAUACAGAGGGUGCGAGCGUUAAUCGGAUUUACUGGGCGUAAAGCGUGCGUAGGCGGCUUCUUAAGUCGGAUGUGAAAUCCCUGAGCUUAACUUAGGAAUUGCAUUCGAUACUGGGAAGCUAGAGUAUGGGAGAGGAUGGUAGAAUUCCAGGUGUAGCGGUGAAAUGCGUAGAGAUCUGGAGGAAUACCGAUGGCGAAGGCAGCCAUCUGGCCUAAUACUGACGCUGAGGUACGAAAGCAUGGGGAGCAAACAGGAUUAGAUACCCACGUAGUCCCUGUCUCUUAUAC